rnacentral:rRNA from 1 species
AGUGAACGCUGGCGGUAGGCCUAACACAUGCAAGUCGAACGGCAGCACAGUAAGAGCUUGCCCUUACGGGUGGCGAGUGGCGGACGGGUGAGGAAUACAUCGGAAUCUACUUUUUCGUGGGGGAUAACGUAGGGAAACUUACGCUAAUACCGCAUACGACCUACGGGUGAAAGCAGGGGAUCUUCGGACCUUGCGCGAUUGAAUGAGUCGAUGUCGGAUUAGUUAGUUGGCGGGGUAAAGGCCCACCAAGGCGACGAUCCGUAGCUGGUCUGGGAGGAUGAUCAGCCACACUGGAACGGAGACACGGUCCAGACUCCUACGGGAGGCAGCAGUGGGGAAUAUUGGACAAUGGGCGCAAGCCUGAUCCAGCCAUACCGCGUGGGUGAAGAAGGCCUUCGGGUUGUAAAGCCCUUUUGUUGGGAAAGAAAAGCAGCAGGUUAAUACCCCGCUGUUCUGACGGUACCCAAAGAAUAAGCACCGGCUAACUUCGUG